rnacentral:rRNA from 1 species
UGGGGAAUAUUGGACAAUGGGCGAAAGCCUGAUCCAGCCAUGCCGCGUGAGUGAAGAAGGCCUUCGGGUUGUAAACUACUUUAGUCAGGGAAGCGGCACCUGCAGAAAAAGAACCGGCUAACUUCGUGCCAGCAGCCGCGGUAAUACGAAGGGUGCUAGCGUUGCUCGGAAUCACUGGGCGUAAAGCGUGCGCAGGCGGAUAUGCAAGUCAGGUGUGAAAUCCCCAGGCUUAACCUGGGAACUGCAUUUGAAACUGCAUAUCUGGAGUAUGAGAGAGGAAAGGGGAAUUCCUAGUGUAGAGGUGAAAUUCGUAGAUAUUAGGAGGAACACCAGUGGCGAAGGCGCCUUUCUGGCUCAUUACUGACGCUCAUGCACGAAAGCGUGGGGAGCAAACAGGAUUAGAUACCCGAGUAGU